GAUGAACGCUGGCGGCGUGCCUAACACAUGCAAGUCGAACGGAGAUUACGGACGGAAGUUUUCGGAUGGAAGCCUGUAAUUCUUAGUGGCGGACGGGUGAGUAACGCGUGGGCAACCUGCCCUAUACAGGGGGAUAGCAGCUGGAAACGGCUGGUAAGACCGCAUAAGUCGGUUAAAUCGCAUGAUUUGAUCGGGAAAUGAGCAAUCAGGUAUAGGAUGGGCCCGCGUCCGAUUAGCCAGUUGGCAGGGUAAAAGCCUACCAAAGCGACGAUCGGUAGCCGGACUGUGAGGUCGGACGGCCACAUUGGGGCUGGGACACAGCCCAAACUCCUACGGGAGGGAGGAGUGGGGGAUAUUGCACAAUGGAGGGAACGCUGAUGGAGCGACGACGCGUGAGUGAAGAAGUAUUUCGGUAUGUAAAGCUCUAUAAGCAGGGAAGAUGAUGACGGUACCUGACUAAGAAGCCCCGGCUAACUACGUG
rnacentral:rRNA from 1 species